rnacentral:rRNA from 1 species
GACGGAGGAUGCAAGUGUUAUCCGGAAUUACUGGGCGUAAAGCGUCUGUAGGUGGUUUAAUAAGUCAACUGUUAAAUCUUGAGGCUUAACUUCAAAACAGCAGUCGAAACUAUUAGACUAGAGUAUAGUAGGGGUAAAGGGAAUUUCCAGUGGAGCGGUGAAAUGCGUAGAUAUUGGAAAGAACACCGAUGGCGAAAGCACUUUACUGGGCUAUUACUAACACUCAGAGACGAAAGCUAGGGUAGCAAAUGGG